rnacentral:rRNA from 1 species
GACGAACCGAGCGAACGUUGUUCGGAAUCACUGGGCUUAAAGGGCGCGUAGGCGGGCUGUCAAGUCUGGGGUGAAAUGCCGCGGCUCAACCGUGGAACUGCCUUAGAUACUGACGGCCUCGAGGAAGGUAGGGGCAUGCGGAACUGUAGGUGGAGCGGUGAAAUGCGUUGAUAUCUACAGGAACUCCGGUGGCGAAAGCGGCGUGCUGGACCUUUUCUGACGCUGAGGCGCGAAAGCUAGGGGAGCAAACGGG